AUGACGAGUGUUCUUUUAGAACACGAAGUGGUUGAUGCCAUGCUUCCAAGAAAAGCUUCUAAGCUUCAGGUAACCAGGAACCGUACCCCAAACCGACACAGGUGGUUGGGUAGAGAAUACCAAGGCGCUUGAGAGAACUCGGGUGAAGGAACUAGGCAAAAUGGCACCGUAACUUCGGGAGAAGGUGCGCCGGUGAGGGUGAAGCAUUUACUGCGUAAGCCCAUGCCGGUCGAAGAUACCAGGCCGCUGCGACUGUUUAUUAAAAACACAGCACUCUGCAAACACGAAAGUGGACGUAUAGGGUGUGACGCCUGCCCGGUGCCGGAAGGUUAAUUGAUGGGGUUAGCUAACGCGAAGCUCUUGAUCGAAGCCCCGGUAAACGGCGGCCGUAACAAUAACGGUCCUAAGGUAGCGAAAUUCCUUGUCGGGUAAGUUCCGACCUGCACGAAUGGCGUAACGAUGGCGGCGCUGUCUCCACCCGAGACUCAGUGAAAUUGAAAUCGCUGUGAAGAUGCAGUGUAUCCGCGGCUAGACGGAAAGACCCCGUGAACCUUUACUAUAGCUUUGCACUGGACUUUGAAUUUGCUUGUGUAGGAUAGGCGGGAGGCUUUGAAGCGUGGACGCCAGUUCGCGUGGAGCCAACCUUGAAAUACCACCCUGGCAACUUUGAGGUUCUAACUCAGGUCCGUUAUCCGGAUCGAGGACAGUGUAUGGUGGGUAGUUUGACUGGGGCGGUCUCCUCCUAAAGAGUAACGGAGGAGUACGAAGGUGCGCUCAGACCGGUCGGAAAUCGGUCGUAGAGUAUAAAGGCAAAAGCGCGCUUGACUGCGAGACAGACACGUCGAGCAGGUACGAAAGUAGGUCUUAGUGAUCCGGUGGUUCUGUAUGGAAGGGCCAUCGCUCAACGGAUAAAAGGUACUCCGGGGAUAACAGGCUGAUACCGCCCAAGAGUUCAUAUCGACGGCGGUGUUUGGCACCUCGAUGUCGGCUCAUCACAUCCUGGGGCUGAAGCCGGUCCCAAGGGUAUGGCUGUUCGCCAUUUAAAGUGGUACGCGAGCUGGGUUUAGAACGUCGUGAGACAGUUCGGUCCCUAUCUGCCGUGGACGUUUGAGAUUUGAGAGGGGCUGCUCCUAGUACGAGAGGACCGGAGUGGACGAACCUCUGGUGUUCCGGUUGUCACGCCAGUGGCAUUGCCGGGUAGCUAUGUUCGGAAUAGAUAACCGCUGAAAGCAUCUAAGCGGGAAACUAGCCUCAAGAUGAGAUCUCACUGGGACCUUGAGUCCCCUGAAGGGCCGUCGAAGACUACGACGUUGAUAGGUUGGGUGUGUAAGCGCUGUGAGGCGUUGAGCUAACCAAUACUAAUUGCCCGUGAGGCUUGACC
rnacentral:rRNA from 1 species